UGAUGCUGAAGCCGAACGCCUCGGCUGUCAGGUACUUGUUCUCGGCGUUGAUGAGGCCCAGGCGGAUCACCAGGGGCUCGCCGGGGGCGUCCGGAGCGGCCAUGACCGGAGGAGGAGGAGAGGAGCGCGGCUGCUGCAGAGGGGAGUGAGAGCGUUAGUUUGGUGACAUAAUCGCCCUGGUUACGCCCUGUUGGGGGGAUUAUUUUAUUGGGACACCAGGCUUGGGAGAAGAGGAAGGGCAUGUGGUCAAGAUGCCAACUCCAGAGAUUCUGUCCGGUUGUCCUUAAGGAGGCUGAGAAAUGCAGUAGCAACCUGAAGUGGAGAGUUACAGGCAGUGAUCCUAUAAUAGAAGCCAAUCGUUGUGCGUGAUGGAUGGAGAGAAAGAGGGGAGUCAUGUAUCGCAGUGAAUUGGCCAUGAUGUGUGAUGGACUGAAAGCUGGGGGAGAACAGGUCGGAAGAUGAUACAGGCUGGGAAGUUGGGGCUGACCCGG